AUUGAACGCUGGCGGCAUGCCUAACACAUGCAAGUCGAGCGGAGCGGCGGACGGGUGAGUGAUGCCUAGGAAUCUGCCUGGUAGUGGGGGAUAACGUCCGGAAAGGGACGCUGAUCCCGCAUACUAUCAGAUGAGCCUAGGUAGGAUUAGCUAGGUGGUUGGGUAAAGGCAUACCAAGGCGACGUUCCGUAACUGGUCUGAGAGGAUGACCAGUCACACUGGAACUGAGACACGGUCCAGACUCCUACGGGAGGCAGAAGUGGGGAAUAUUGGACAAUGGGCGAAAGCCUGAUCCAGCCAGGCCGCGUGUGUGAAGAAGGUCUUCGGAUUGUAAAGCACUUGAAGUUGGGAGGCGUUACCAACAGAGUAAGCACCGGCUAACUUCGUGCCAGCAGCCGCGGUAAUUC
rnacentral:rRNA from 1 species